rnacentral:lncRNA from 1 species
CCCUCUCCCUUUGUACCGUUCCAAGCACUUGGUUCGAGGCAUACCGAGCUGCAAUGCAGGUGAACCAGCAUGGUUCUGUCCCUCAGUUCAAGAAAUCCGGCGAAACAAGAAAGAGGGAGAAGGAGAGAGAGGAAAAGAAAGAGAGAGAGGAAGGAAGAGAGAGGGGGAGAGAGGGUAAAGGAGGGAGAGAGAGAUUUCUAGCCCUCUCCUCUGGCCACACAGUAAUAGGUGUGGAGCCCUUGUUUCGAAAUAAAACAAGGGUUUUGGCCCUUUCUUUUUUUGAAAUUUUUGUUUCAAAACUCGAUACUGACUUCAAUUUAAAAAUUUAAAGCAAAAGGCCGAAGCUCUUGUUUCGUUUUGAAACAGGAGCUCUGCCCCUAUUACUGUGCAGUUGGAGGGGAUGGGACUCAUAAUUCCUCUCUCUCCCU